rnacentral:rRNA from 1 species
CUGAUUAUUGAAGGGUGCUUGCAUCUUGAUUUAAUUUUGAAGGAGUGGUGGACGGGUGAGUAACACGUGGGUAACCUGCCCUUAAGUGGGGGAUAACAUUUGGAAACAGAUGCUAAUACCGCAUAAAUCCAAGAACCGCAUGGUUCUUGGCUGAAAGAUGGCGUAAGCUAUCGCUUUUGGAUGGACCCGCGGCGUAUUAGCUAGUUGGUGAGGUAACGGCUCACCAAGGCAAUGAUACGUAGCCGAACUGAGAGGUUGAUCGGCCACAUUGGGACUGAGACACGGCCCAAACUCCUACGGGAGGCAGCAGUAGGGAAUCUUCCACAAUGGACGCAAGUCUGAUGGAGCAACGCCGCGUGAGUGAAGAAGGCUUUCGGGUCGUAAAACUCUGUUGUUGGAGAAGAAUGGUCGGCAGAGUAACUGUUGUCGGCGUGACGGUAUCCAACCAGAAAGCCACGGCUAACUACGUGCCAGCAGCCGCGGUAAUACGUAGGUGGCAAGCGUUAUCCGGAUUUAUUGGGCGUAAAGCGAGCGCAGGCGGUUUUUUAAGUCUGAUGUGAAAGCCCUCGGCUUAACCGAGGAAGUGCAUCGGAAACUGGGAAACUUGAGUGCAGAAGAGGACAGUGGAACUCCAUGUGUAGCGGUGAAAUGCGUAGAUAUAUGGAAGAACACCAGUGGCGAAGGCGGCUGUCUGGUCUGUAACUGACGCUGAGGCUCGAAAGCAUGGGUAGCGAACAGGAUUAGAUACCCUGGUAGUCCAUGCCGUAAACGAUGAAUGCUAGGUGUUGGAGGGUUUCCGCCCUUCAGUGCCGCAGCUAACGCAUUAAGCAUUCCGCCUGGGGAGUACGACCGCAAGGUUGAAACUCAAAGGAAUUGACGGGGGCCCGCACAAGCGGUGGAGCAUGUGGUUUAAUUCGAAGCAACGCGAAGAACCUUACCAGGUCUUGACAUCUUUUGAUCACCUGAGAGAUCAGGUUUCCCCUUCGGGGGCAAAAUGACAGGUGGUGCAUGGUUGUCGUCAGCUCGUGUCGUGAGAUGUUGGGUUAAGUCCCGCAACGAGCGCAACCCUUAUGACUAGUUGCCAGCAUUUAGUUGGGCACUCUAGUAAGACUGCCGGUGACAAACCGGAGGAAGGUGGGGAUGACGUCAAAUCAUCAUGCCCCUUAUGACCUGGGCUACACACGUGCUACAAUGGAUGGUACAACGAGUUGCGAGACCGCGAGGUCAAGCUAAUCUCUUAAAGCCAUUCUCAGUUCGGACUGUAGGCUGCAACUCGCCUACACGAAGUCGGAAUCGCUAGUAAUCGCGGAUCAGCACGCCGCGGUGAAUACGUUCCCGGGCCUUGUACACACCGCCCGUCACACCAUGAGAGUUUGUAACACCCGAAGCCGGUGGCGUAACCCUUUUAGGGAGCGAGCCGUCUAAG